AAAGAUUAAGCCAUGCACGUGUAAGUACAUGCCGUCCAAGGAGAAACCGGUCAUGGCUCAUAUAAUCAGUUACGGUUCCUGAGAGCUCGACUAUCUACCUGGAUAACUGUGGAGAAUCUAGAGCUAAUACAUGCACAAAAGCUUUGACACUUAACGGAAAAAGCGCAUUUAUUAGACCAAGACCAAUGGGUUCGUUUCGGCGAUACCCUCUUAGUGGUGACUCAGGAUAACUUGUUCUACUGACAUGGCUUUAGAGCCGGCGAUGAAUCUUUCACGGGUUUGCAUUAUCAACAGUUGAAGGUAGGCUAUCAUGGUACCAUGGUUG
rnacentral:rRNA from 1 species